rnacentral:rRNA from 1 species
UGGGGAAUAUUGCACAAUGGGCGCAAGCCUGAUGCAGCCAUGCCGCGUGUGUGAAGAAGGCCUUCGGGUUGUAAAGCACUUUCAGCGAGGAGGAAGGUGGUGAACUUAAUACGUUCAUCAAUUGACGUUACUCGCAGAAGAAGCACCGGCUAACUCCGUGCCAGCAGCCGCGGUAAUACGGAGGGUGCAAGCGUUAAUCGGAAUUACUGGGCGUAAAGCGCACGCAGGCGGUUUGUUAAGUCAGAUGUGAAAUCCCCGGGCUCAACCUGGGAACUGCAUUUGAAACUGGCAAGCUAGAGUCUCGUAGAGGGGGGUAGAAUUCCAGGUGUAGCGGUGAAAUGCGUAGAGAUCUGGAGGAAUACCGGUGGCGAAGGCGGCCCCCUGGACGAAGACUGACGCUCAGGUGCGAAAGCGUGGGGAGCAAACAGAUUAGAUACCCUGGUAGUCCACGCUGUAAACGAUGUCGAUUUUGGAGGUUGUGCCCCUUGAGGCGUGGCUUCCGGAGCUAACGCGUUAAAUCGACCGCCUGGGGGAGUACGG